AAAACCGAAACCCGAAUGGAUAAAACCGAAACCCGAUUGGGACCCCGAAUGCCUAUGCUUAGGUAAAAUCCAAAUGUGGGUUUCUUAUUUCUUUUUUUUAAUUUUUUUUAUCUUUUUUUGUUUGAAUGAAAAAAAUUAAAAGCUGCCAUGUAUUAGUGGAACCCGCGAACAGUGCAAGAAACCAUCAAAUAGCGGUUUUUGUUAUGGCUAUUCUUCAACCGGUUUUUGUUUUUUUGUGGCCCCCUCUCCCCCUGAUAAUCCUGCCCUUAAGUUUGGCCUUACCUUACAUGUGGGUCAGCCUAGUAAUUUAAAGACAUUUGACUUCUCAUUCAGCACACAAAGAGACUUUGAAUCCUAAAUUGGACAGUGGAAAAGUCGUCCUCGGAAAACGCAUAUAAAUACUUUUUCUUUAUAAUGUAUAUCAAUACCAUAUGUGCUCUCAUAUCAUAAUCCAUAACAAUAGCAGAGCAUCAAUGGCGUUUCACAGUGAAAAGUCCAUCUUAGUGAAGAUCAUUGUCUUCUCUCUGCUACUUCUUCUUCCCCUAUCACAAAGCAACGCUGCUCGUGUUCCUUCGACCCCCAGAGUUCCCAUCGCCCCAGGCGACCGAUUUGCCCGGCUUGUGUGUGUUGCGAGCCAGCGCCAAUAGGAAGUGCUGCAGAUGUUGUGCAUCUCCUAUCGUCACUCAGACUCAUCACCACUCUCAAUCUCCAUGAAAAACAUAAAACAAUAAAGCCCGACUAAUGAUGAAUCAUAAAUAAAGUCCUUUGUAGUCCAUGUUUCUGCUUCCAUGUCCUAAUAAAAUAAGGGAAGUUUACUAGAAUGUUACAUAUUUUAGGUGUAUUGACUAGAAUGAUACAGAUCUUUUUUUUAUUA